GGAGGAACAGCAACUAGCAGAGCCCCGCAGACGUUGCAGCAACCAGGAUCCAAUUCCUCAGCCAGGAAGCCUAAUAGAGAAGCAUUUUGAACUUUCUUAUCAUCUUAAUCUAACAUAGCUAACCAUUCCCCUCCCCCUCCCUCAUGUCUUCUCUUGACCUAACCGUCUUCACUUGCUAACUUCUUUUUGUAUUAAUUUUCAUGUCAUGUCUCUGAAUUUCUGUGAUUUGUUUGAUUGUUUUGAAUUUGUACUAAUUUUCUCUUAGUUGUGUACUUUCAGAGACUGGGAGGUGGUACGACGCUGGAGCAGCAAGGCCGGCCAACAGAUGAAGAUUCCAUUGCCCAGUUAUGUCCGUCGGCCAACAUUGGCCAGAGCGGAAAAUGGUCAAGCAAGCGUCGAUCCCACUGUGACAUGCAACUCCUUGGUCUGUCUGCAGCAGUCUGGAGAGAAGGGACCGACUGCAGCCAACCAUUGAAGAGAGGAUGCAGUGCAAAGUGCAGCCCUCUAUCCCCAGCUCAGAAGGGGAGCCUGUCACCUGAAAAGCAAGAGUGCUGAAAGUUCCGGAGUCCACUGUGGCCACACCAAGGAGGGUCAAGGUCAGACUAUCCUCAUUCUGGAGACAAAGUUCGGACCGUGGCCUGCUAGAAGGAGUGGAAAGCCUUCAGGGAUAUACUGCAGCCAACCCAAGCAUCUGAGGCACAGGGUUGGACUGAUCUCCUUCCGCACAGGUGGAGCAGACCCUCGCCCGCCAGCAGGAGUUCGGUGACUGCAGCCAAUGCCCAGACAUCAACA